UCCUUGUUAGUAUAAUUGGUUAGUACAUCUGUCUCACGGCAGGGGAUCGGGGUUCAAGUCCUCGACAAGGAC
rnacentral:tRNA from 1 species